rnacentral:rRNA from 1 species
GAUGAACGCUGGCGGCGUGCCUAAUACAUGCAAGUCGAGCGAACGGACGAGAAGCUUGCUUCUCUGAUGUUAGCGGCGGACGGGUGAGUAACACGUGGAUAACCUACCUAUAAGACUGGGAUAACUUCGGGAAACCGUAGCUAAUACCGGAUAAUAUUUUGAACCGCAUGGUUCAAAAGUGAAAGACGGUCUUGCUGUCACUUAUAGAUGGAUCCGCGCUGCAUUAGCUAGUUGGUAAGGUAACGGCUUACCAAGGCAACGAUGCAUAGCCGACCUGAGAGGGUGAGCGGCCACACUGGAACUGAGACACGGUCCAGACUCCUACGGGAGGCAGCAGUAGGGAAUCUUCCGCAAUGGGCGAAAGCCUGACGGAGCAACGCCGCGUGAGUGAUGAAGGUCUUCGGAUCGUAAAACUCUGUUAUUAGGGAAGAACAGAUGUGUAAGUAACUGUGCACAUCUUGACGGUACCUAAUCAGAAAGCCACGGCUAACUACGUG